rnacentral:lncRNA from 1 species
AUGCAAGCCUAUGACCCGCACUUACUGGGAAUUCAUCGUUCAUGGGGAAUAAUUGCAAUCCCCGAUCACCAUCACCAAUGGGGUUCAACAGGUUACCCGCGUCUGCCACAUAGGGUAGGCACACGCUGAGCCAGUCAAUGUAGCGUGCAUGCAGCACUGGACAUCUAAGGGCAUCACAGACCUGUUAUUGCUCAAUCUUGGGUGGCUGAAUGCCACUUGUCCCUCUGAGAAUUUGGGGGACGCCGACCGCUCGGGGGUUGCAUAACUAGUUAGCAUUCCACAGUCUUGUUCAUUAUCAGAAUUAACCAGACAAAUCACUUCACCAACUAAGGCCAUGCACCACCACUCAUGGAAUUGAGAAAGAGCUAUCAGUCAAACCUGUCCGUGUCCAGGCCGGGUGAUAUUUCCCGUGUUGAGUCAAAUUAAGCUGCAGGCUCCACUCCUGGUGGUGCCUUUCCACCAAUUCCUUUAAGUUUCAGCUUUGCAACCCUACUCCCCCAGAAACCCAAAAACCCAAAGACUGGUUCCUUGGAAGCUGCCCAGCGGGUCAUGGAAAUAACGCCGCUGCAUCGCCAGUCGGCAUUGUUUAUCGUCGGAACUACGACGCUAUCUGAUUGUCUUGGAACGUCCAACUUUCAUUCUUGGUUAACGAAAUCAUUCUUGGCAAAUGCUUUCGCUCUGGUCCGAACUGCGCCAGUCCAAGAAUUUCACCUCUAGCGGCGCAAUACGAAUGCCCCCGGCCAUCCCUCUUAAUCAUGGCCUCAGUUCCGAAAACCAACAAAAUAGAACCGCGGUCCUAUUCUAUCAUUCCUAGCUGCGGUAUCCAGGCGGCUCGGGCCUGCUUUGAAAACUCUAACUUUUUGAAAGUAAACGCUUCGGGCCACGGGACACUCAGCUAAGAGCAUCGAGGGGGU